CGGCCACUUCCUGUUUUCCAGACACGGCACACCGUUUUCAAGGAGCGUAAUGAAUGCGAGACGUGUGGUCGAGGUCUUGAAUCUUCUUGGAUCAGACAGCCGAGAGUCGUGCCCUAGAGGACCCAACCCAGGACCCCACGUGGUCUCGCUGUUGCGCCUUCUCGGUCUCCUUCGGUCCAUGGCAGCUCAUCUCUUCCCUCGUCAUUCAUGGACCUGGACACUUUCGAAGAGUACAGGUUUGGCAUUUUGAAGAAUGUCCAUAAACUUGGGUUUGCUUUGUCUUCUCAUGAUCACAUUGAGGUUGUGGAUUCGGGAGGAAGAAUGCCGCAGAGACGACGUGCCCUUCUCAGUGCAUCGUACCGGGGAGCAUGUGACGUUACUACGUCUUUCCACAGGGGAUGCUAACCUUGGUCUUUCAGUUAAGGUGGUCUCUGUCGGGUUUUACACCAUAAAGUUACUGUUUUCCAUUUGUAAUUAAUAAAUAUUUGAGAGGAAAUACUUCAAGGCUGUACAAAUAUCUGGUUUAUCCUUAAACUUUUACCCACUAAUUUUAGCUUCCAUC
rnacentral:lncRNA from 1 species